rnacentral:misc_RNA from 1 species
UCUCCGUUGGUGAACCAGCGGAGGGAUCAUUACAGAGUCGUAAAACACUCCCAAACCCAUGUGAACUUACCAAUGUUGCCUCGGCGGGCCUCUGGGAUUCGUCCCAUGUCCGCCGGCGGACCAAUAAACUCUUGUUAUUCUAUGGAUAUCUGAGCGUCUUAUUUAAUAAGUUAAAACUUUCAACAACGGAUCUCUUGGUUCUGGCAUCGAUGAAGAACGCAGC